UGGUUUUAAUUCUGAAGCCGCAGUAUUAAGACAGGAGGCUAAAGAAGCACAUACUUGCUUAAUUUUUCCUUCUUUACAUGCUGGGGAUGGCAGCAGCAGCUUGUGGCUGAGUUUUGGUGUUCUGCCUGACGGGUGACAGCUGAGCAGUCACUAGGUCCUUGCAAAAUGCAGGACACUGGGAAGGUUCUUCACCUUGCAUGGUGUCCCUUCCCACACCGCCCCUCAGGUUGGGAGUGGUGGGGAGUUACUGUUUGAUGUGUACAGAAUUUCUCUUUGGGAUGACAAAAAUGUCUGGAAAUGGAUGGUGGUGAUGGUUGUAGAGCUUUACAGAUCUACUUAAUGCCACUGAAUUAUGCACUUCAAAUGAUUAAAAUGGGAAAUUUUAUUUAUCUUUUACCACAUUUUUUUUUAAAACCUCAGUAAAUAAAAUGCAACUUAAGGCUUC
rnacentral:lncRNA from 1 species